UUUGCGAGGUUUUUUUUGUACUCCGUGAGGGGUGGGCCGCUGGUGUUGGCCAAUAAAGUAAGCGGGCACUUGGGGAGAAGCGGUGGGGAGAGCGCGGCGGGCCCGGCUCGGCGGCGCGGGCAGCGGCGGGCGGGAGCCGCGCUCAGAGCCCCCUCAGCACCGCGGGCAGCGCCGCUCCGCCGCCGCCUGGGCUCGGCCCUGCUCCGCCGGGGCCCGCCACCGCCACUGCAGCGCUGCUCGGGGCCGGGGCUGCCCUCACGGAACCCUCCCUUCAGCGCGGUGUCGCUCCGGACAUCAGGCUGGCGACAGGGGCGGACGCAGCGGGUUGCUCCCCUGUGGGACUCCUGGUUGUGCUCCAUGCAUCACAUCCCUGCCUCACUGAUUCUGCACUGACCCAGAGGCACAGCCUCCCUGGGAAGGGUUUUCCUGGCUCCUCACCCUGUUUUCUGGAGAGGAAGGAAGCGAGUGGAAGGGAACACCAAGAUGAGAUGGCUCUCUAGCCUUCUUCUCUUACUGAUGCUUUGACUUGAGGGUGCUCCUCUGCAAUCUACCAAGGUGCACAAUUUGCAAAAUUACCUACUGCCUCCAAUCCCAGCCUUGUCCCAUCCAUGGGAUUCUCCGUCCUGUUCUGUCUGGUAAGUCUUCUGCCUUUCACAUUCAAAAAGCUCUUUAAAAA
rnacentral:lncRNA from 1 species